GGGCGGUGUGAGGAUAAGAGGGAGGCGGAAGGGGCGCGAGGAGGAAGAUGAUGUGGUGUUUUUUUUUCAUAGUCAGCGAGCAGAUAAGUUACAAAGUCAGGAUGAUUAUGAAACUAAUUGCUGAUAAGGUUUGACCAGAGAGCGGAACAAGUUACAGUUUGUUUACAAUAAAAAAAUGCUGAAUCUGAUGACAACAAUUUUGAUGAAGAUUCAGAUCCUAAGGAUGGCAAUAAAGAUG
rnacentral:lncRNA from 1 species